AAUGCUUUUAUCAAGGAUAUGCCGCAGAGGUUCCAAAAUCAGUUGUGACACUUAACACCUGUUCUGGACUCAGGGGAUUAUUAAUGCUGCAGAACGUCAGUUAUGGAAUCGAGCCACUGGAAUCUGCAGCUGCAUAUGAGCAUAUGCUUUAUCAAACAAAGAAUGAUAAAAUUGAUUUUUCCCCUGUACAAGAAAAUUAUCCUACGCCCCAAGGUAGAUCGGUCCUACAGGAUUCUUGUGAAAUCGGAAACUGACAGAUCAUUGAAGCCUGUUUUCCUUGGGGAGUCUAUGAAAUGGGG